rnacentral:tRNA from 1 species
AUUUAAAUAGUUUAAUAAAAAUAUUAAUUUGUGGAAUUAAAGAUAUAAUUUAUUUAUUUUAAAUA